AACGAACGCUGGCGGCAUGCCUAACACAUGCAAGUCGAACGAGACCUUCGGGUCUAGUGGCGCACGGGUGCGUAACGCGUGGUAACCUGCCCUUAGGUUCGGAAUAACUCCCCGAAAGGGGUGCUCAUACCGGUUAAUGUCUUCGGACCAAAGAUUUAUCGCCUUUGGAUGGGCCUGCGUUGUAUUAGCUCGUUGGUAGGGUAAAAGCCUACCAAGGCGACGAUCCAUAGCUGGUCUGAGAGGAUGAUCAGCCACACUGGGACUGAGACACGGCCCAGACUCCUACGGGAGGCAGCAGUGGGGAAUAUUGGACAAUGGGCGAAGGCGUGAUCCAGCAAGGCCGGGUGAGUGAUGAAGGCCUUAGGGUUGUAAAGCCCUUUUACCCGGGAUGAUAAUGACAGUACCGGGAGAAUAAGCACCGGCUAACUCCGUG
rnacentral:rRNA from 1 species